rnacentral:sRNA from 1 species
UUAUGUGAGGGUAGGAGCGAUAUCUUUUUUUUCUUUAAAAAAUAAAAGAUGUAGCGGAUAACCCCAUCCCGC